rnacentral:rRNA from 1 species
GAUGAACGCUGGCGGCGUGCCUAAUACAUGCAAGUAGAACGCUGAAGCUUGGUGCUUGCACCGAGCGGAUGAGUUGCGAACGGGUGAGUAACGCGUAGGUAACCUGCCUGGUAGCGGGGGAUAACUAUUGGAAACGAUAGCUAAUACCGCAUAAGAGUAGAUGUUGCAUGACAUUUGCUUAAAAGGUGCAAUUGCAUCACUACCAGAUGGACCUGCGUUGUAUUAGCUAGUUGGUGAGGUAACGGCUCACCAAGGCAACGAUACAUAGCCGACCUGAGAGGGUGAUCGGCCACACUGGGACUGAGACACGGCCCAGACUCCUACGGGAGGCAGCAGUAGGGAAUCUUCGGCAAUGGACGGAAGUCUGACCGAGCAACGCCGCGUGAGUGAAGAAGGUUUUCGGAUCGUAAAGCUCUGUUGUAAGAGAAGAACGAGUGUGAGAGGGAAAGUCACACUGGACGG